GGGGUUGUGGCUCAGUGGUAGAGCGCUUGCCUAAUGUGUGUGAGGCUCUGGGUUCGAUCCUCAGCAGCACAU
rfam:Ictidomys tridecemlineatus contig072979, whole genome shotgun sequence.